UACGGGAGAUGCAAGCGUUAUCCGGAAUUAUUGGGCGUAAAGCGUUCGUAGGCGGUUCAACAAGUCUGCUGUCAAAGGUCGCAGCUUAACUGCGGAAAGGCAUUGGAAACUGUUGAGCUAGAGUGUGGUAGGGGUAAGGGGAAUUCCCAGUGUAGCGGUGAAAUGCGUAGAUAUUGGGAAGAACACCAGCGGCGAAAGCGCCUUACUGGGCCACAACUGACGCUGAGGGACGAAAGCUAGGGGAGCGAAAGGG
rnacentral:rRNA from 1 species